rnacentral:sRNA from 1 species
CUUGGUCAUUUAGAGGAAGUAAAAGUCGUAACAAGGUCUCCGUUGGUGAACCAGCGGAGGGAUCAUUACCGAGUUUACAACUCCCAAACCCCUGUGAACAUACCUAUACGUUGCCUCGGCGGAUCAGCCCGCGCCCCGUAAAACGGGACGGCCCGCCCGAGGACCCUAAACUCUGUUUUUAGUGGAGCUUCUGAGUAAAACAAACAAAUAAAUCAAAACUUUCAACAACGGAUCUCUUGGUUCUGGCAUCGAUGAAGAACGCAGCAAAAUGCGAUAAGUAAUGUGAAUUGCAGAAUUCAGUGAAUCAUCGAAUCUUUGAACGCACAUUGCGCCCGCCAGUAUUCUGGCGGGCAUGCCUGUUCGAGCGUCAUUUCAACCCUCAAGCUCAGCUUGGUGUUGGGACUCGCGGUAACCCGCGUUCCCCAAAUCGAUUGGCGGUCACGUCGAGCUUCCAUAGCGUAGUAAUCAUACACCUCGUUACUGGUAAUCGUCGCGGCCACGCCGUAAAACCCCAACUUCUGAAUGUUGACCUCGGAUCAGGUAGGAAUACCCGCUGAACUUAAGCAUAUCAAUAAGCGGAGGAAAAGAAACCAACAGGGAUUGCCCUAGUAACGGCGAGUGAAGCGGCAACAGCUCAAAUUUGAAAUCUGGCUUUCGGGCCCGAGUUGUAAUUUGUAGAGGAUACUUUUGAUGCGGUGCCUUCCGAGUUCCCUGGAACGGGACGCCAUAGAGGGUGAGAGCCCCGUCUGGUUGGAUGCCAAAUCUCUGUAAAGUUCCUUCGACGAGUCGAGUUGUUUGGGAAU